UCCCAGGUUGCCUAGUGGUUAAGGAUCCAGCAUUAACACUGCUGUGGCAUGGGUUCACUCCCUGACCUGGGAA
rnacentral:tRNA from 1 species